rnacentral:rRNA from 1 species
UACGAAGGGGCUAGCGUUGUUCGGAUUUACUGGGCGUAAAGCGCACGUAGGCGGAUCGUUAAGUCGGGGGUGAAAUCCUGGAGCUCAACUCCAGAACUGCCUUCGAUACUGGCGAUCUUGAGUCCGGGAGAGGUGAGUGGAACUGCGAAUGUAGAGGUGAAAUUCGUAGAUAUUCGCAAGAACACCAGUGGCGAAGGCGGCUCACUGGCCCGGUACUGACGCUGAGGUGCGAAAGCGUGGGGAGCAAACAGGG